rnacentral:SRP_RNA from 1 species
UAUGCAAAGAUGGACGAUUGCUCUACUAAUCUGGUCAGAUUAGAAAUAAAGCAGCCAAAUGUAGAAUCAGUCGGGUCAUCUUUGCGCUUAU